GUCCACGCCCUAAACGAUGUCAACUGGUUGUUGGCGAUAUACAGUCAGCGACCAAGCUAAAGCGUUAAGUAAUCCACCUGGGAAGUACGACCGCAAGGUUGAAACUCAAAGGAAUUGACGGGGGCCCGCACAAGUGGAGGAGCAUGUGGUUUAAUUCGAUGAUACGCGAGGAACCUUACCUGGGCUUGAAAGUUAGUGACGUUCUGUGAAAGCAGAAUUCCCUUCGGGGCACAAAACUAGGUGCUGCAUGGCUGUCGU
rnacentral:rRNA from 1 species